AGUCUGACGGAGCAACGCCGCGUGAACGAUGAAGGCUUUCGGGUCGUAAAGUUCUGUUGUCAGGGAAGAACAAGUACCGGAGUAACUGCCGGUACCUUGACGGUACCUGACCAGAAAGCCACGGCUAACUACGUGCCAGCAGCCGCGGUAAUACGUAGGUGGCAAGCGUUGUCCGGAAUUAUUGGGCGUAAAGCGCGCGCAGGCGGUUCCUUAAGUCUGAUGUGAAAGCCCCCGGCUCAACCGGGGAGGGUCAUUGGAAACUGGGGAACUUGAGUGCAGAAGAGGAGAGCGGAAUUCCACGUGUAGCGGUGAAAUGCGUAGAGAUGUGGAGGAACACCAGUGGCGAAGGCGGCUCUCUGGUCUGUAACUGACGCUGAGGCGCGAAAGCGUGGGGAGCGAACAGGAUUAGAUACCCUGGUAGUCCACGCCGUAAACGAUGAGUGCUAAGUGUUAGAGGGUUUCCGCCCUUUAGUGCUGCAGCAAACGCAUUAAGCACUCCGCCUGGGGAGUACGGCCGCAAGGCUGAAACUCAAAGGAAUUGACGGGGGCCCGCACAAGCGGUGGAGCAUGUGGUUUAAUUCGAAGCAACGCGAAGAACCUUACCAGGUCUUGACAUCCUCUGACAACCCUAGAGAUAGGGCGUUCCCCUUCGGGGGACAGAGUGACAGGUGGUGCAUGGUUGUCGUCAGCUCGUGUCGUGAGAUGUUGGGUUAAGUCCCGCAACGAGCGCAACCCUUGAUCUUAGUUGCCAGCAUUCAGUUGGGCACUCUAAGGUGACUGCCGGUGACAAACCGGAGGAAGGUGGGGAUGACGUCAAAUCAUCAUGCCCCUUAUGACCUGGGCUACACACGUGCUACAAUGGAUAGAACAAAGGGUCGCGAAGCCGC
rnacentral:rRNA from 1 species